CCCCGUCCCCGGCGCGCGCGCCAGCGCGCGCUCCGGGCGACUAACGAACCCCGGCGCGGAAAGCGCCAAGGAAUACCCAACGAGACAGCCUGUCCCCCGCGCCCCGUCCGCGGAGCGCGCGGGGGAACCUGCGCUUCUUUCGAAACAAAAACGACUCUCGGCAACGGAUAUCUCGGCUCUCGCAUCGAUGAAGAACGUAGCGAAAUGCGAUACUUGGUGUGAAUUGCAGAAUCCCGUGAACCAUCGAGUCUUUGAACGCAAGUUGCGCCCGAAGCCAUUAGGCCGAGGGCACGUCUGCCUGGGCGUCACGCAUCGCGUCGCCCCCCUCGCCCCGCUCCCGUGGAAACGGCAGCGGCGGCGUCGCGGGACGGAUACUGGCCUCCCGUGCGCCUAGAGCUCGCGGCUGGCCUAAAUGCGAGUCCACGUCGACGGACGUCGCGGCAAGUGGUGGUUGAAACUCAACUCUCGUGGUGCCGCGGCCCCUGCCCGUCGCGCGUGCGGUCUCCGGGACC
rnacentral:rRNA from 1 species